GAUGAACGUUGGCGGUGUGCCUAAUACAUGCAAGUCGAACGGAGUCAGUAGCAAUAUUGGCUCAGUGGCGAACGGGUGAGUAACGCGUUGGUGAUCUGCCUUGAAGUGUGGAAUAACGUUUCGAAAGAGACGCUAAUACCGCAUGUGCUCUCGAUUUUCAGAAAGUUGAGAGUAAAGGAUUUAUUCGCUUCAAGAGGAGCCUGCGUCCCAUCAGCUGGUUGGUAGGGUAACGGCCUACCAAGGCUAUGACGGGUAGGGGACCUGAGAGGGUGGCCCCCCACAAUGGAACUGAAACACGGUCCAUACACCUACGGGAGGCUG
rnacentral:rRNA from 1 species